UACAGAGGUCCCAAGCGUUGUUCGGAUUCACUGGGCGUAAAGGGUGCGUAGGCGGUCGGGUAAGUCUGAUGUGAAAUCUCAGAGCUCAACUCUGAAACUGCAUUGGAUACUAUUCGGCUUGAGGUCUGGAGGGGGGACUGGAAUUCUCGGUGUAGCAGUGAAAUGCGUAGAUAUCGAGAGGAACACCAGUGGCGAAGGCGAGUCCCUGGACAGAUCCUGACGCUGAGGCGCGAAAGCUAGGGGAGCAAACAGG
rnacentral:rRNA from 1 species